UAACAACGUGACUGACUUUGGAAACGUUAUUCCAAGUGAAAGAAGCCAGUCUCAGAAGAACACAUAGUGUCUGGCUCCAUGUAUUUGAAAUGUCCAGAGUAUAGAAAUCUAGAGAGACAGAAAUAGACAGAUCGUUGGUUGCCUAGGACUGGAGGGGAUGGAGGUCUGGGAGGAUGAGAGUUAGCAGAUGUGGAGUUUCAGUUCGGAGUCAUGAAGAUGCUUUCAAAUUGACUGUGGUGAUGGGCGCCCAACUCUGUGAACUUACUAAAACACAUUGAACUGCACACUUUACCUGGCUGAAUUGUGUAGCAUGUGGAUUUUCAUCUCAAUAAAACUGCUACCUAGGGAAACAUCAUUUUCUACUGAAAUCUCUGAUCAAUUAUAAUAGUCCCAAAGGGCUUGCCUUGUGGCUCAGCUGGUGAAGAAUCCCCCCGCAGUGUGGGAGACCUGGGUUCCAUCCCUGGGUUGGGAAGAUCCCCUGGAGAAGGGAAAGGCUACCCACUCCAGUAUUCUGGCCUGGAGAAUUCCGUGGACUGUAUAGUCCAUGGGGUCACAAAGAGUCAGAAUGCCUGAGCGACUUCCACGUUUCACUUAGUUCACGUUUGUAUACGUCAGUUCUCAUUCUCCUCUCCCUCCCUCUCUCCCCCUUCUUCUUCUUCCUCCUCGUCCUCUCAUUGGAAAUGUUGACUUAUUUAUCAAAAAGGAUCAACUUAAUGAAAAUUAAUGGGGAACAUUGAUAUGAACACAAUUUUCCAGUUUACACCGCUAUAGAUAAUCGUAUACUGAGAGACAGAGACGGUGCAACCUUGAGAAUCUGAUGCUUUGCAAACAUGAUCCUCUCACCAACCUCUGAACCACUUGGGAGACAGGUGUCCACUCAGUGCCCCACUGGCAUCCAGCUCAAUUGUCUCUGGAGCCCAGGUGUGUCUUCAUGUCGUGAGGCAGUCGUGGUGGCAUCACCUGAUGCAAAGCCUUCUAGUCUGUUCUCUGAUCACUGAGUGAUGGGGAAGGCAGAUGAGGGUAAGCCCAGAAGAGUCCUUUUAAUCACUGUCUCUGCCUCCAAACUAUAUUACCACCAACCAAAACAUGCCACACAGGGCUGUAAAGUUAAUCUUAAAAUAGCACAGCCUUAGCAACUCACUUUGUCUUGUCACAAAAUUUGUACUCGUGGUCCUUGAAUUCAGACUUCUCCAUUAAAAAAAUAUACAAAAGCACCUUGCUGCCAUCUCUCUCACCUCCUCUCCAUAGUUUGUUGAGGAGAAGACUUC
rnacentral:lncRNA from 1 species